rnacentral:rRNA from 1 species
UACGUAGGGGGCAAGCGUUGUCCGGAAUUAUUGGGCGUAAAGAGCUCGUAGGCGGUCUGUCGCGUCGGCUGUGAAAACCCGGGGCUCAACCCCGGGCCUGCAGUCGAUACGGGCAGACUAGAGUGCGGUAGGGGAGACUGGAAUUCCUGGUGUAGCGGUGGAAUGCGCAGAUAUCAGGAGGAACACCGGUGGCGAAGGCGGGUCUCUGGGCCGUAACUGACGCUGAGGAGCGAAAGCGUGGGGAGCGAACAGG